GACGAACCGUCCAACCGUUAUUCGGAAUCACUGGGCUUACAGAGUUCGUAGGCGGUCUGGAAAGUUGGGUGUGAAAUCCCUCGGCUCAACCGAGGAACUGCGCUUGAAACUACCAGACUCGAGGGAGAUAGAGGAAAGCGGAACUGAUGGUGGAGCGGUGAAAUGCGUUGAUAUCUGGAGGAAUACCGGUGGCGAAGGCGGCAUCCUGGACCGAGAUUGACACUGAUGAGCGAAAGCCAGGGGAGCAAACGGG
rnacentral:rRNA from 1 species